rnacentral:rRNA from 1 species
CGCCAGACUCCUACGGGAGGCAGCAGUGGGGAAUAUUGCACAAUGGGGGAAACCCUGAUGCAGCGACGCCGCGUGAGUGAAGAAGUAUUUCGGUAUGUAAAGCUCUAUCAGCAGGGAAGAAAAUGACGGUACCUGAUUAAGAAGCCCCGGCUAACUACGUGCCAGCAGCCGCGGUAAUACGUAGGGGGCAAGCGUUAUCCGGAUUUACUGGGUGUAAAGGGAGCGUAGACGGCAGCGCAAGUCUGAAGUGAAAUGCCGGGGCUUAACCCCGGAACUGCUUUGGAAACUGUGCAGCUAGAGUGCAGGAGAGGUAAGUGGAAUUCCUAGUGUAGCGGUGAAAUGCUUAGAUAUCACGAAGAACUCCGAUUGCGAAGGCAGCUUACUAAACUGCCACUGACAUUGAUGCUCGAAAGUGUGGGUAUCAAACAGGAUUAGAUACCCCUGUA